rnacentral:rRNA from 1 species
GAAGGGUGCAAGCGUUACUCGGAAUUACUGGGCGUAAAGCGUGCGUAGGUGGUGGUUUAAGUCCGUUGUGAAAGCCCUGGGCUCAACCUGGGAAUUGCAGUGGAUACUGGAUCACUAGAGUGUGGUAGAGGGAUGCGGAAUUUCUGGUGUAGCAGUGAAAUGCGUAGAGAUCAGAAGGAACAUCCGUGGCGAAGGCGGCAUCCUGGGCCAACACUGACACUGAGGCACGAAAGCGUGGGGAGCAAACAGGAUUAGAUACCCUGGUAGUCCACGCCCUAAACGAUGCGAACUGGAUGUUGGGUGCAACUUGGCACCCAGUAUCGAAGCUAACGCGUUAAGUUCGCCGCCUGGGGAGUACGGUCGCAAGACUGAA